rnacentral:rRNA from 1 species
AUUGAACGCUGGCGGCAGGCCUAACACAUGCAAGUCGAGCGAGCGGCGGACGGGUGAGUAAUGUCUGGGAAACUGCCUGAUGGAGGGGGAUAACUACUGGAAACGGUCGCUAAUACCGCAUACCAUCAGAUGUGCCCAGAUGGGAGUAGCUAGUAGGUGGGGUAACGGCUCACCCAGGCGACGAUCCCUAGCUGGUUUGAGAGGAUGACCAGCAACACUGUAACUGAGACACGGUCCAGACGCCUACGGGAGGGAGCAGUGGGGAAUAUUGAACAAUGGGCGCAAGCCUGAUGCAGCCAUGCCGCGUGUGUGAAGAAGGCCUUCGGGUUGUAAAGCACUUUCAGCGGGGAGGCGUUACCCGCAGAGGAAGCACCGGAUAACACCGUGCCAGCAGCCGCGGUAAUAC